rnacentral:rRNA from 1 species
UACGUAGGUGGCAAGCGUUAUCCGGAUUUACUGGGUGUAAAGGGCGUGUAGGCGGGAAAGCAAGUCAGAUGUGAAAACCAUGGGCUCAACCUGUGGCCUGCAUUUGAAACUGUUUUUCUUGAGUACUGGAGAGGCAGACGGAAUUCCUAGUGUAGCGGUGAAAUGCGCAGAUAUUAGGAGGAACACCAGUGGCGAAGGCGGUCUGCUGGACAGCAACUGACGCUGAGGCGCGAAAGCGUGGGGAGCAAACAGG